UAUGCUUCUGUCUGUAAUAAAUUUGCUGUUCAAAUUAUCUAUCAGCCCAUUGAAAGAGGUUCAUCUUAACACCAUCUUAAGUACCAUUUGGAUCAUCUGACGAUGUUGUCUUCUUAUUGAUUAUGAUAAGGAAAUAAACUCUCCUUCCAUCAUAAUGGUGACGGAAAAUAUGAAAAGGCGGAUCGUUAUCGAAGAUCAAGAUCCAAACAGGCUGCUGUACUUUUAAAGAAAACUUUUAGGCCGUAUUGAGUUUGAAGGCUCAUUUGGGUCAUGUCAAAAAGAGAAACAUAAAUAUGGCUUGGUUUUCAUUGGAUUUCCGAGUUGUGGCCGAUGAUUACCUCAAGUAUCAUCUUUUAUAAUCAUCAUUUGAGAGUGUUGUUGCAAGGAUACUUUUUUCAGAUAUCUAGUUAUCUGAAUAAAUGAAUGGCUUGAUUUGAUGACUGUCUUCGAUGACUGUCUUUGAUGAGUGAUAUUGAUCUGUAAUCAAUCUUUCCACCAAAGUCUUGACUCAAUCAUUUCUUUGUCACAUAAAUUACCACAGUUUCAUGGUUGUUUUUCAACUAGUAAAAUUGGCUUGUUUACCCAAUGAUGACAUAAUCACAUAAAUAAGAGAGACGAUAAUUUAUUACCUCUGUAAAGUAAACGAGAAGCAUCUGAUUACUUAACGAUUGUUCCUGUGUUCAAAUUAUAAAGCUGGUCAAUCCUGUUUAUUUCAUUUCCGAGACUUGAAGUUAUUGCAAAUUGUAAUCAAGCCAGUAUUUCAAACAGCGAACGCUAGAUGGCAGCACUUACUUUGUUAUUGUCUGGUUGAUCAACAUUAAUUUUUAUUGAUUUAAUUCACUUUCCCGAUUCCGACCAUAUCAAACAUUAUGAUACUUAAUAGUUUACCGUUUCCCUCCUGAUAUACUGUGAUCUGCCAAAAUACUUAUCAAAUGGUGUUGUAGGAUUAUCUAUUGUCCAUUCAAGUUGACUUCAAUCAAAUAAUUAUCUUUCAAUGAGCGACUUUGGAUCCAUUAUGAUUGUCGUCUCAGAGCCAUUGUUUCCGAUUAAAGCCAAGAUAUUUUUCAAAGAUAUUUUCAUUCAUGGAAAAAGAAAUUCUUUGAUUCCAUUAUUCGUACUAUGAGUGGUGUAGGAUGAAAAAAGUUGACAAUUAAGUCAACAUGAGUUAACAAUCCUAGGUGAAUUGAAAGAUAAUCAAUUAAUUUCAUUUCAAGUUUGCUUUGUUCAAGUUUGAUUAAAUUAAAUCGUCAAUUACAAUCAACCUGGAGGAUAAACAUCAUCUUCAUCAUCUUUGUCAUCAAAGCUAGGAGCAACAGCAGCAGCAAAGACCUUAUGGAUGUAACAAUUGAUCAAAAAUGAGUAAAUGCUAAUAGUAUUACUAAUGAUGAUAAAGAUAAACCUGAAAGAUGAACUGAAAGAAGCAAAGACUCAAUGAAUGAUGAAAAUAACAAUACUGAUGAUAUUAUUAAUGGUGCAAGGUGAAGUAACAUCAACAAUAACAACAACAAUACACUAUUCUGGUUUACUUGUGGUGCUAAACUAACCUUCAUGAUUAACAGUAUUUAAGGUUCAUUAUCGCCUUUAUUCUUACAUAUAUUUAGACCAUACUGUUUCAUUAAUUAAUUAAUGAAACAUCUUCAAGAUUAAUAAUUGUCAACAAUCACUCUUUACACAAGCAAAAUUAAAUAGAUUAUCAUUUUUGCAUUGAAAAUUGUGUCAAACCCUGAAACAAUGAGAAUCCAAUUUUUCCCUCUACCAAAUGGUCGUUCAACAAAUCCAUCUUACAACGACACAAAGAAGAGAGACAUGGUGUUGACAAGGCAAAAAUAAAACCCAACAAAGGACAGAAUUACAUUGUAACAUUGGAUGUUUGGAUGGACAUUUCAAAUGGUCAACUAUUCACUCUCUUGUAUUCAAGACCCAGUCAAUCAGUGAUUGAGAGGGAAAAUUUAAUUUAUCCAGGCUUAAUUUGAUGAUUUUAACCAUUUGAUGACAUUAAGAUGAGCCUCUUGUAAGGGUUGCGAUUGAAUACAAUCAAUCUGAUUAAAUGGUGAACUUGUGUUAAUUGUGAAAAAUGUUAUUGAAAUUAGCUGUUUCCUUCAGUAUUCAAUUUAUUUUGUCAACUCGAUUCAUCUUGAUUUGACUUGCUAAUAAGUGUUCAAGUAAAUUCAAUGAAAUAAUUCAAACAUUAUUGAAUACUCAAUGUAAGUAUUGAAAUUCAGUUGCUCCAUUCAAGUUGAUCACCAAUUGAUCUUAAAAGGUUAUCCUGGUUAUUUCAUGACAAACAAUCAAUCACAAUCAGUCUAUUCAAAUGUCCACAAAUGAAAAAAAAUGAACACAUUUUUACUCUACAAUUAACCUUUCAAUCUGAACCUUUGAUCAGAAAAAAAAGUGUAAUCAAUAAUUGGACAAUUAUAAUUGGCCGACAAAAAUGAUUGAAUCAAAUUA